GGCCUGGACAACAAAGGGGCAUCUUCCAGGAUCCUAUGCAUGACACUUCCGUGAACUGCAGAGGGAACGAGAGCUUUUGAUGAGAGAAACUCCAGGAAGAAAACAGGAUCAUUCCUGCUUCCUGUACAAUUGCAAAAGCCUUUGAAACCUGAUUCUUGAGGUGACCCAUGAUGAGUCGCAGCUCACGAGACUUCAGUGAAGCAAGUAGCAACAGGAGUCAACCGGUGUUGGGGACAAAUUGCCGAGACUGCACUUAUGAGAAGCGUUACCAUGAUCACCCACGUGUGGAGAGACCUGUGGAGAAAUAGAGAAUGAAACAAGAAUUGCUGUACCUACAAUUAGGCUCUGCUACUGCAAAUCACUCUGCCUGGGCAGACCCCUGCAAACACAAGGUGUCCCUUCGGAGGUCUGCCAAGAUGGAGUAAGUAGCAGGAUUGGGUCUUAGUUACGA